rnacentral:rRNA from 1 species
AGAUGGGAGCUUGCUCCCUGAUGUUAGCGGCGGACGGGUGAGUAACACGUGGGUAACCUGCCUGUAAGACUGGGAUAACUCCGGGAAACCGGGGCUAAUACCGGAUGGUUGUUUGAACCGCAUGGUUCAAACAUAAAAGGUGGCUUCGGCUACCACUUACAGAUGGACCCGCGGCGCAUUAGCUAGUUGGUGAGGUAACGGCUCACCAAGGCAACGAUGCGUAGCCGACCUGAGAGGGUGAUCGGCCACACUGGGACUGAGACACGGCCCAGACUCCUACGGGAGGCAGCAGUAGGGAAUCUUCCGCAAUGGACGAAAGUCUGACGGAGCAACGCCGCGUGAGUGAUGAAGGUUUUCGGAUCGUAAAGCUCUGUUGUUAGGGAAGAACAAGUACCGUUCGAAUAGGGCGGUACCUUGACGGUACCUAACCAGAAAGCCACGGCUAACUACGUGCCAGCAGCCGCGGUAAUACGUAGGUGGCAAGCGUUGUCCGGAAUUAUUGGGCGUAAAGGGCUCGCAGGCGGUUUCUUAAGUCUGAUGUGAAAGCCCCCGGCUCAACCGGGGAGGGUCAUUGGAAACUGGGGAACUUGAGUGCAGAAGAGGAGAGUGGAAUUCCACGUGUAGCGGUGAAAUGCGUAGAGAUGUGGAGGAACACCAGUGGCGAAGGCGACUCUCUGGUCUGUAACUGACGCUGAGGAGCGAAAGCGUGGGGGAGCGAACAGGAUUAGAUACCCUGNGUAGUCCACGCUCGUAAACGAUNGAGUGCU